rnacentral:ncRNA from 2 species
UUAGGGUGCCUGCGAGCCAGCCGUACCCGGUGAACGGGUCAGGGAAUCCGGUCGGAAGCCGGAACUGACGCGCAGCGGUAGGGGCGGCGGACGGGGAAGGGCCGCGAGCGGCCCGCCACUGGGAGCGGUUCCCGGGAAGGCUCCCCGUUCCGGAUUGCGCCCGAGUCCGAAGACCUGCUGGUUCCCCGUCGCGCCA